rnacentral:lncRNA from 1 species
AACGGAGUAACUCCUGGUGGCACAAAAAUGGGCUUUUUCAGACGUCUUUGGGGAAGGGUCCAGCUCCAACCCAAUUUUGUAUGGAUCCGAAAUUUCGGCUGACCCGACCCGAUGUUGGCCCAAUUGUUUUUGGGCCAGCUCCACAUCGCCCCGCUCAAAAGCUCGGAAGCCUUAAAGCCCUCUGACCCGACCCGCCCAAAAGCCGACGACCCGGUUCGUUUUACGCGUGUAUUACAC